UUGACGUUACCCGCAGAAGAAGCACCGGCUAACUCCGUGCCAGCAGCCGCGGUAAUACAGAGGGUGCAAGCGUUAAUCGGAAUUACUGGGCGUAAAGCGUACGCAGGCGGUCUGUCAAGUCGGAUGUGAAAUCCCCGGGCUCAACCUGGGAACUGCAUUCGAAACUGGCAGGCUAGAGUAUUGUAGAGGGGGGUAGAAUUCCAGGUGUAGCGGUGAAAUGCGUAGAGAUCUGGAGGAAUACCGAUGGCGAAGGCGGCCCCCUGGACAAAUACUGACGCUCAGGUGCGAAAGCAUGGGGAGCAAACAGGAUUAGAUACCCUGGUAGUCCAUGCCGUAAACGAUGUCUAUUUGGAGGUUGUGCCCUUGAGGCGUGGCUUCCGGAGCUAACGCGUUAAAUCGACCGCCUGGGGAGUACGGUCGCAAGGUUAAAACUCAAAUGAAUUGACGGGGGCCCGCACAAGCGGUGGAGCAUGUGGUUUAAUUCGAUGCAACGCGAAGAACCUUACCUGGUCUUGACAUACUCAGAACUUUGCAGAGAUGCAUUGGUGCCUUCGGGAACUGUGAGACAGGUGCUGCAUGGCUGUCGUCAGCUCGUGUCGUGAGAUGUUGGGUUAAGUCCCGCAACGAGCGCAACCCUUUUCCUUUGUUGCCAGCAGUUCGGCCGGGAACUCAAAGGAGACUGCCAGUGACAAACUGGAGGAAGGCGGGGACGACGUCAAGUCAUCAUGGCCCUUACGGCCAGGGCUACACACGUGCUACAAUGGCAUAUACAAAGAGAAGCGACCUCGCGAGAGCAAGCGGACCUCAUAAAGUAUGUCGUAGUCCGGAUUGGAGUCUGCAACUC
rnacentral:rRNA from 1 species